GGCCCUGUAGUGAAAUUCAUAGUGGGUUGCAAGCUCAUUGAUGUGCAUUAGCAUGCGCCUGGGCCU
rnacentral:tRNA from 1 species